CUCCGUAGGUGAACCUGCGGAGGGAUCAUUACACAAAUAUGAAGGCGGGCUGGAACCUCUCGGGGUUACAGCCUUGCUGAAUUAUUCACCCUUGUCUUUUGCGUACUUCUUGUUUCCUUGGUGGGUUCGCCCACCACUAGGACAAACAUAAACCUUUUGUAAUUGCAAUCAGCGUCAGUAACAAAUUAAUAAUUACAACUUUCAACAACGGAUCUCUUGGUUCUGGCAUCGAUGAAGAACGCAGCGAAAUGCGAUAAGUAGUGUGAAUUGCAGAAUUCAGUGAAUCAUCGAAUCUUUGAACGCACAUUGCGCCCUUUGUUAUUCCAAAGGGCAUGCCUGUUCGAGCGUCAUUUGUACCCUCAAGCUUUGCUUGGUGUUGGGCGUCUUGUCUCUAGCUUUGCUGGAGACUCGCCUUAAAGUAAUUGGCAGCCGGCCUACUGGUUUCGGAGCGCAGCACAAGUCGCACUCUCUAUCAGCAAAGGUCUAGCAUCCAUUAAGCCUUUUUUUCAACUUUUGACCUCGGAUCAGGUAGGGAUACCCGCUGAACUUAAGCAUAUCA
rnacentral:rRNA from 1 species